AGCGCCAUAGUUUACUUGGUAAAACGGAAGCCUCAUGAUCUUCAGAACAGGGUUCAAUACCCUGUGGCGCUU
rnacentral:tRNA from 1 species